GAUCAUGGCUCAGGAUGAACGCUAGCUACAGGCUUAACACAUGCAAGUCGAGGGGAAACGACAUCGAAAGCUUGCUUUUGAUGGGCGUCGACCGGCGCACGGGUGAGUAACGCGUAUCCAACCUGCCCAUCACUUGGGAGUAACCUUGCGAAAGUAAGACUAAUGCCCAAUGAUAUCCCACGAAGGCAUCCGAAUGGGAUUAAAGAUUUAUCAGUGAUGGAUGGGGAUGCGU
rnacentral:rRNA from 1 species